GGGCAGACUGCCACUACAGAAGGAUCUCUGCUUGGAGAUCUCUCCCUUGUGGAGUUUCUCUUGUGAGCCUAGAUCUUCAGAGAGAGGUCUGUUAAAAUAUGAGCCAAUAAGCCCUGGGAAUGGAAUUCCUCAAUGUCAUUGCAGGCUUCAGGGUGAACUUACUCAAGCACAACUUUCAACUUGCUAUCUAUUGCAUUCAGCUGUGAUUGGAUGUGGCCAAGCCUCUGCAGAGCCUACUCCAGCCUACAGCUACGCAGCACUCUUGGAUCAGCAUUCUUCUGUCUAAUGUAUACAAAAGGUGCCGAGCUUCAGUGGUGCUAUUUAUACCUGGUUAUAUACAAAUAUGACUCUAACUCAUCUGUAUAUAUUAACAUUCAUAUGGCAGCUCCCCUUAAAUUCCUUUUUUUCCAUGCUGUAUACACUUGACUUUUCUUGUUUGACCGUAUAUCAUUUUUCUUGCUAAAUGUAGUAAAAAUUUAAAAAUCAAAUAAGAGAAGUGACA